CCUACGGGGGGCUGCAGUCGGGAAUUUUGGGCAAUGGGCGAAAGCCUGACCAAGCAACGCCGCGUGAAGGAUGAAGUAUUUCGGUAUGUAAACUUCGAAAGAAUGGGAAACGGUACCAUUUAUAAGCUCCGGCUAACUACGUGCCAGCAGCCGCGGUAAUACGUAGGGAGCAAGCGUUGUUCGGAUUUACUGGGCGUAAAGGGCGCGUAGGCGGCGCGACAAGUCACUUGUGAAAUCUCCGGGCUUAACUCGGAACGGUCAAGUGAAACUGUCAUGCUAGAGUGCAGAAGGGGCAAUCGGAAUUCUUGGUGUAGCGGUGAAAUGCGUAGAUAUCAAGAGGAACACCUGAGGUGAAGACGGGUUGCUGGGCUGAACUGACGCUGAGGCGCGAAAGCCAGGGGAGCAAACGGGAUUAGAUACCCUUGUAGUC
rnacentral:rRNA from 1 species